rnacentral:rRNA from 1 species
CUAUCUACUUGCAUCAUUGUACAGAUGAUGCAAGAUCGACUAUGUCGAAUAAAAUUCUAGGUAGAAUUAUGAUAAUGACAUUGUCUGCCUAUGUGUCUUGACCAAAUUACGUGCCAGCAGUCGCGGUAAUACGUAGAAGACUAGUGUUAUUCAUGUUUAAUCGGUUUAAAGGGUACCUAGACGGUAGAUCAAGCUUUUACAUAUAAAUUAUGUUAAUUAAAGGACUAAUUUGCUAGAGUUACUUACGAGGGGGUAUUAAAGUACUGCUGGUGUAGAGAUGAAAUUCUGUCAUACCUCUUUUCGAAAGAAAAAUCAUGGCACAGGUAUAGGCGAAUGCAUCCCCUUAUGUGAUAACUGACGUUGAGGGACNAAUGCUUUGUGUCACACACAGGAUUANAUACCCUAGUAUUUGAACAAAAAUGAUGAAUGUAAUAGAUUAGAUA